rnacentral:rRNA from 1 species
GUGCAAGCGUUAUUCGGAAUUACUGGGCGUAAAGCGUGCGCAGGCGGUGAUGUAAGACAGUUGUGAAAUCCCCGGGCUCAACCUGGGAACUGCAUCUGUGACUGCAUUGCUGGAGUGCGGCAGAGGGGGAUGGAAUUCCGCGUGUAGCAGUGAAAUGCGUAGAUAUGCGGAGGAACACCGAUGGCGAAGGCAAUCCCCUGGGCCUGCACUGACGCUCAUGCACGAAAGCGUGGGGAGCAAACAGG